UAUCGGGGCGGAUGCCUUAAAUGCAGUCGAACGGCAGCACGGACUUCGGUCUGGUGGCGAGUGGCGAACGGGUGAGUAAUGUAUCGGAACGUACCUUUCAGUGGGGGAUAACGUAGCGAAAGUUACGCUAAUACCGCAUAUUCUGUGAGCAGGAAAGCAGGGGAUCGCAGGACCUUGCGCUGAUUGAGCGGCCGAUAUCAGAUUAGCUAGUUGGUGGGGUAAAGGCCUACCAAGGCUACGAUCUGUAGCGGGUCUGAGAGGAUGAUCCGCCACACUGGAACUGAGACACGGUCCAGACUCCUACGGGAGGCAGCAGUGGGGAAUUUUGGACAAUGGGGGCAACCCUGAUCCAGCCAUGCCGCGUGAGUGAAGAAGGCCUUCGGGUUGUAAAGCUCUUUCGGCCGGGAAGAAAUCGCAUAGGUUAAUACCCUGUGUGGAUGACGGUACCGGAAUAAGAAGCACCGGCUAACUACGUGCCAGCAGCCGCGGUAAUACGUAGGGUGCGAGCGUUAAUCGGAAUUACUGGGCGUAAAGCGUGCGCAGGCGGUUUCGUAAGACAGAGGUGAAAUCCCCGGGCUCAACCUGGGAACUGCCUUUGUGACUGCGAAGCUAGAGUACGGCAGAGGGGGGUGGAAUUCCACGUGUAGCAGUGAAAUGCGUAGAGAUGUGGAGGAACACCGAUGGCGAAGGCAGCCCCCUGGGCCGAUACUGACGCUCAUGCACGAAAGCGUGGGUAGCAAACAGGAUUAGAUACCCUGGUAGUCCACGCCCUAAACGAUGUCAACUAGGUGUUGGGUGGGUAAAACCAUUUAGUACCGUAGCUAACGCGUGAAGUUGACCGCCUGGGGAGUACGGCCGCAAGGUUAAAACUCAAAGGAAUUGACGGGGACCCGCACAAGCGGUGGAUGAUGUGGAUUAAUUUGAUGCAACGCGAAAAACCUUACCUACCCUUGACAUGUUCAGAAUCCCGGAGAGAUUUGGGAGUGCCCGAAAGGGAGCUGGAACACAGGUGCUGCAUGGCUGUUGUCAGCUCGUGUCGUGAGAUGUUGGGUUAAGUCCCGCAACGAGCGCAACCCUUGUCGUUAAUUGCCAUCAUUUAGUUGGGCACUUUAACGAGACUGCCGGUGACAAACCGGAGGAAGGUGGGGAUGACGUCAAGUCCUCAUGGCCCUUAUGGGUAGGGCUUCACACGUCAUACAAUGGUCGGUACAGAGGGUUGCCAAGCCGCGAGGUGGAGCCAAUCCCAGAAAGCCGAUCGUAGUCCGGAUUGCAGGCUGCAACUCGCCUGCAUGAAGUCGGAAUCGCUAGUAAUCGCGGAUCAGCAUGUCGCGGUGAAUACGUUCCCGGGUCUUGUACACACCGCCCGUCACACCAUGGGAGCGGGUUCCGCCAGAAGUAGGUAGCCUAACCGCAAGGGGGCGCUUUCCACGGCGGUUUCAUGGUAU
rnacentral:rRNA from 1 species